UUUAUUUAUAAGAUAUUCCCUAGAUAUCAUAAUCGAGAAGAAAUAUGUUUUAUUCUUUUAUUCUUUCAUUCUUUUUUUUUUUUCAAAGCAUUCUCUAAUGUUUGCCAAAAUUGCAACUGGUAAGAUAAUUGGAAGAAGAAGAAACGAAGCAGAGACCGAUUCUUUGAUAUUUCAACACUCCAGUUUUAGGAGAAUGGGAACAAAAAGAAAAAAAAAAUUAAAAAUAGAGGCAAACGAAACUGAUGAAAGCAACAGAAAGUGAUGCAAUGAUUACUUCUACCUGUAGUCUGAAGGAAACCACACCUUUCUCAUCAGUGGAAGAGAAUGUGUAUUUAUAUGUCAUCAAAUUUAACCAUCAGGUCAGCGAGUGACGUGCAGUAUCUCUUGUUAAUGCUUUUAAACGUCACAAGAUUACAAUAUCGAUCAUUGAAGUAACACGCGGUUGCACCAACAUAUACAAAUGCAUCUGCUGUACAUUUGUAUAUCACGUUUUUAUGAAGGCAUAUAUUUCCCGGAGGAUAGGCGUCCCUGUUUUUAGAAUUACAUUUCUUUAUCACAUUAUUUUCUAGUCCAUAACUACUAGUUUUCUCUUACAGUUCUAUAUUUAAGAGAUGAGGGAUUAUUUACAUUAUUUACAUUAUUUACAUUUGACGGAUAUUUGUCCUCAUCUUGUUUGUUGUUAACACAACGUUUCGGCUGAUAUACCCUCCACGGGCAUAUGGCGUAGAAACCAGCUCCUUCUUUCACGAAGAUUUCAAAUAAUUAAAAAUAGAGAACAUGUAUAUGCGCGCGCGCACGCGUGUGUAUAUAUAGUUGAAAUUUAUAGAAAAACAAAAGACGAAGACAAGCAUAUGAACAACAAACAAGUGUAUUGGUUUGACGCUCGGGAAAUAUGAAAACGUCUUUUUACAUUUCGAGUCUACGCUCUUCAACAGAAAAGAAUAAGUGGAAAUAAAAA